UGCGGACGUAGCUCAGUUGGUAGAGCGCAACCUUGCCAAGGUUGAGGUCGCGAGUUCGAGCCUCGUCGUCCGCNN
rnacentral:tRNA from 2 species